UGUGUGUAACUGCGUGUGGGUGGGUGUGAAUGAGUGUGAGUGCGCGCACGCAAAUAUAUCUGCUGUUCUAUCUCAGGCUGAGUUUCCUCCUCUCUGUACAGGUCCUGUGCGGCCAAAUGCGCGGCUCGCGACAGGCAGUGGGGAGCCAGUUCCCUCCUCCUGCGUUGAGUCUCCGAGCUCUGGCCAGUGCAUGGCCCAUCAGGGCAUUAACGUGCGUGCCGGCGAGAUACAGUUACAACGCCGCCAGAAACCCGAUCCUCGAGGCCGAGUCGGAAUCGUAUACAGAUGAGGAAAGCAGUUAAACAUUUAAAGCAAUUGUAACAGAAUACCACCGCACGUCGUUCUGCCGAGGAUGGAGAUUGCGAGGAGAUCUUUUUCCCCUGAACGUAAACCUUACUGGUUCCCUCGGACACAUAACCUUGGAAGGACUUCAUUGUUCUUCCAACAUCGUAUUGCCAACGUGGAUGUUUUAUUUGGGCUGUUGAUUUAUUUUUUUAAUCUGCACUCUCUCUCUCUCUGUGUCCCCCAACA